rnacentral:rRNA from 1 species
AUGGAGUCUGAUGAAUCAGAAGAUAAUAUGUUGCUGAUUGAGACUAUGGCCGUGGAGGCUUAUAGUAAAGAAAAAGUUCAAGGUUCUCAAGCAAUGCUGGGUAUUGAUGAUACCAAGCAUAAUGCUGAUGAGAUUCAGGUGGUGGAAUGUGAGGGGGAGGAUCUCUCCAAGCUGGGAAAAUCAGACUAUCUGGUACAAUACCCCACUUCUUCUUCUGAGGAUGUGGGAGAGGUGAUCCCUACACCUCCCCUUGUAUUUGAAGAAGUUAAGAGAUUUAGCCUGAGGAACUUACAAAAUAUGGAAGGAAGAAUGCAAGAGAAGGCUGUGGCCAUUUCCAAAAAGAGAAAUCUGGAAGGUAAUUUAGCAAAUCAUAACUCUUUUGAUGCUUUAUCUAAUCCCGAGCUCAUGAUUCGUGUUGUUAAAAUGGGGUUAGUUUUUCCUGACAAUAAUUUCUCUAAUGUGGAUAUCAUUAGAGAACUUGAAAUCAUAAGGGGGGAAAACUCUAAAAAAGAGGAGGAAAAGAAAAAUAUGAGGAAUGAAGAAGAGGUGAUGUAUAUCACCAAUGGAAAGGGGGAAACAACUCCUCUUAGUACUGAAUGGGGAAAUGGAGAUGAGGACAUGGAAGAACAAUUUACCAUGGUCCGGUCUAGGAAAAAGAAAAGUCCUAAAGUUCAAAUAGCUGUAUUCAGACCCACUACUAGAAGUCAAAAAAACCUUGUUGAGAAAAAACAAGCUGGCAGCCCUGUUCAUAAUACCAGGGCCACCAGAGGGGGGAGAAAAGGGAAAAGAUAUAAAUGA